CACGUAGGGUCCGAGCGUUGUCCGGAUUUAUUGGGCGUAAAGGGCCUGUAGGCGGCUUGAUAAGUCGGGUGUGAAAACUCCGGGCUCAACCCGGAGACGCCACCCGAUACUGUUAUGGCUUGAGUCUGGUAGGGGAGUGCGGAAUUCCUGGUGUAGCGGUGAAAUGCGUAGAUAUCGGGAGGAACACCUGUGGCGAAAGCGGCGCACUGGACCACUACUGACGCUGAGGCGCGAAAGCUAGGGGAGCAAACAGG
rnacentral:rRNA from 1 species